AUACUUACCUGGCAGAGGAGAUACCAUGAUCACGAAGGUGGUUCACCCAGGGUGAGGCUCAGCCAUUGCACUGCGGGGUUGUGCUGACCCCUGUGGGUUCCCCAAAUGCGGGAAUCUCAACUGCAUAAUUUGUGGUAGUGGGGGACUGCGUUCGCGCUCUCCCCUC
ensembl:snRNA U1 U1 spliceosomal RNA